GCACUUACCUGACAGGGGAGAUACUAUGAUCACAAAGUAAAUCUUAUCCAUUUUACUCCAGAUGUGCUAUUUCCCCAAAUGUGGGAAACCUGACUGCAUAAUGUGUGGUAGUGGGGGAUGGUGGUUAACAUCUUCCCCUG
ensembl:snRNA U1 U1 spliceosomal RNA